GACGAACGCUGGCGGCGUGCUUAACACAUGCAAGUCGAGCGGUAAGGCCCUUUCGGGGGUACGACGAGCGGCGAACGGGUGAGUAACACGUGGGUGACCUGCCCUUAGCUCUGGGAUAAGCCUGGGAAACUGGGUCUAAUACCGGAUAUGACUCCAUGACGCAUGUUGUGGGGUGGAAAGCCUUGUGCGGCUAGGGAUGGGCCCGCGGCCUAUCAGCUUGUUGGUGGGGUGAUGGCCUACCAAGGCGACGACGGGUAGCCGGCCUGAGAGGGCGACCGGCCACACUGGGACUGAGACACGGCCCAGACUCCUACGGGAGGCAGCAGUGGGGAAUCUUGCGCAAU
rnacentral:rRNA from 1 species